UACAGAGGUCUCAAGCGUUGUUCGGAUUCAUUGGGCGUAAAGGGUGCGUAGGCGGCGCGGUAAGUCGGGUGUGAAAUCUCGGAGCUCAACUCUGAAACUGCACUCGAUACUGCUUUGCUCGAGGACUGGAGAGGAGAUUGGAAUUCACGGUGUAGCAGUGAAAUGCGUAGAUAUCGUGAGGAAGACCAGUGGCGAAGGCGGAUCUCUGGACAGUUCCUGACGCUGAGGCGCGAAGGCCAGGGGAGCGAAUGGG
rnacentral:rRNA from 1 species